rnacentral:rRNA from 1 species
GACGAACGCUGGCGGCGUGCCUAAUACAUGCAAGUCGAACGCAGUGGGGACGGGUGAGUAACACGUGGGUAACCUCCCAUCAGAGGGGAUAACACUUGGAAACAGGUGCUAAACCGAUACUGAUGGAUGAACCCGCGGUGCAUUAGCUAGUUGGGGAGGAAACGGCUCACCAGGGCCACGAUGCAUAGCCGCCCGGAGAGAGUGAUCGCCCACACUGGGACUGAGACAGGGCCCAGACUCCUACGGGAGGCAGCAGUGGGGAAUAUUGCACAAUGGGCGCAAGCCUGAUGCAGCCAUGCCGCGUGUAUGAAGAAGGCCUUCGGGUUGUAAAGUACUUUCAGCGAGGAGGCGUUAUUCGCAGAAGAAGCACCGGCUAACUCCGUGCCAGCAGCCGCGGUAAUAC